GGCGGACGGGUGAGUAACACGUGAGAAUCUGCCUUGAGGACGGGGAUAACAGUUGGAAACGACUGCUAAGACCCGAUGAGUCGAAAGAUAAAAAAUUUAUUGCCUCAAGAGGAGCUCGCGUCUGAUUAGCUAGAUGGUGGGGUAAGAGCCUACCACGGCAUCGAUCAGUAGCUGGUCUGAGAGGAUGAGCAGCCACACUGGGACUGAGACACGGCCCAGACUCCUACGGGAGGCAGCAGUGGGGAAUUUUCCGCAAUGGGCGAAAGCCUGACGGAGCAAUACCGCGUGAGGGAGGAAGGUUUUUGGAUCGUAAACCUCAAAACUUAGGGAAGAAGAAAGUGACGGUACCUAAUAUAAGCAUCGGCUAACUCCGUGCCAGCAGCCGCGGUAAUACGGAGGAUGCAAGCGUUAUCCGGAAUCAUUGGGCGUAAAGAGUCUGUAGGUGGCACUUCAAGUCUGCUGUCAAAGACCGAAGCUAAACUUCGGAAAGGCGGUGGAAACUGAAGAGCUAGAGUGAAGCAGGGGUAGAGGGAAUUCCCAGUGUAGCGGUGAAAUGCGUAGAGAUUGGGAAGAACACCAGUGGCGAAGGCGCUCUACUAGGCUUGAACUGACACUCAGAGACGAAAGCUAGGGUAGCGAAAGGGAUUAGAUACCCCUGUAGUCUUAGCGGUAAACGAUGGAUACUAGGCGUAGACCCAUGAAAAUGGAGCUGUGUCGAAGCUAACGCGUUAAGUAUCCCGCCUGGGGA
rnacentral:rRNA from 1 species